rnacentral:rRNA from 1 species
UCAAUACCGUGCUCAUCUUGUUCUAGCACCAAGAGUCGAAGAUGCACCCCUUCUUCCUCCUCCUCCUCACUUUGUUGAUUCCCCAUGAAAUCGUCUCCGGCACAACAGCCGCCACCUUGUGUAACCGCUGGUGCGGCGACACCACCGUCCCCUACACCUUCGGCUUCUCCGACGGCUGCCCCAUCGCCCUGUCAUGCGACGCCGACACCUCCACGCCGACCCUCUCGUACACAGGAGGCAGCGGCACGUCGUACCGCGUUGUCUCCUUCAACUCCACCAUCUCCACCGUCAUGGUCAGCCUCCCUGUGUCGUGCAUCCGCAGCGUCCCCGAUGUCAGGAGGGCGCUCUCGGGCGCCAAUUACGGCGUCUCCGCGCGCACCAUGCUCUCCGUCCGAGGGUGCCACAACGCGUCGGCAUCCAGCUGUAUCAUACCCGCGGGCGUCAUUUCGAGGCUGCUCGACACGGCGCGGUGCGACGGCAGCGAUGCCUCCGUGAAGUGUGUCGCCUCCGUUGCGCCGAACGCCUCCGCCGGGUUGGCGUACAGGCAGUUCCUGCGGUGGGAAAACGUAGAGAGGGCCAACUGCGAUGACGUGCUGGCGUCGGGGGUGUGUCUGGACAUGGUGGAUGGGGUGCUGUCGCUGGCCAACGAGGUGGCGGAGCUGGCGUGGUGGCUCAACGGCACGUGCGUCGUCGGCGGCGGGGGUUGCGCGGCGAACGCGACGUGCUCCUAUGUAAAUACGCCGAGCGGGUCGGUGGGGCGGUGCACGUGCGUGGCAGGGAUGAACGGCGACGGGUUCUUGGCUGGAGACCGAUGCUACGUCGAUAUGAUAUAGUGCUCGGUGUAGGUUCGGCGCUUCUAUACCUGCACCAAGAGACGGAGCAACGCGUGGUGCACAGGGACAUCAAGCCUAGCAACAUCAUGCUAGACGCCUCCUUCAUCGCCAAACUCGGUGACUUUGGGCUCGCGAGGCUCAUCAAUGAUGGCCGGAAAUCGCACACUACCGGUAUAGCCGGCACGAUGGGGUACAUCGAUCCUGAGAGCUUGUUGGCCGGCAGGGCGAGCGUCGAGUCGGAUGUGUACAGCUUUUGAAUUGUCCUCCUCGAGGUUGCCUCUGGGCAGCGGCCAGCUCUAGUCCAGGAAGACGGUGACGUCGUCCACCUGGUGCAGUGGGUGUGGGACUUGUACGGCAAAGGAUCAAUUCUAGAUGCCGCCGACGAGCGACUUAAGGGGGAGUUUGACAGCACGGAGAUGGAGCGUGUUAUGGUCGUGGGGCUCUGGUGCGCGCACCCUGACCGUGCGAUGCGGCCAUCCAUCAGGCAAGCGUUGAACGUGCUGCGGUCCGAAGCGCCAUUACCAAGCCUCCCGGAUAGGAUGCCGGUAGCGACCUAUGGGCCACCGACUAAUCAUUCGAGUUCCGGAACUUUGGCGCUGAGCAGCGUCAGUGGCCGGUGAUGGUGUUCCCACCAGAACAAUAGUUAAAUUCUCCAGUUAAUAGAAUCUUAGUUCCUUGUGUUGGUUACCAAUCGUCCACGAUCAGGAGACAAGUAUGCACGAAUAAAAUGUUGCCACCGUUCAGCAUCUACAGAGCAAACACCAUGUAUAUUGCCGGA